UUGAAACACCGGUACCCGUACGACCACCGAAGUUAAGCAACGUCGAACCUGGUUAGUACCUAGAUGGGUGAUAGCUUGCGAAUAGCAGGUGCUGUAAG
rnacentral:rRNA from 1 species